GGGUAUGGCUGCAGCCUGGAGCGUCCCGUGUCAUCCGCCCCGUCUCAUGCCGAGGUGUGUCCAAUGGUAAUUUCAGAGGAUUAAGCGAGGAGAA